CAGCAGCCGCGGUAAUACAGAGGGUGCGAGCGUUAAUCGGAUUUACUGGGCGUAAAGCGUGCGUAGGCGGCUUCUUAAGUCGGAUGUGAAAUCCCUGAGCUUAACUUAGGAAUUGCAUUCGAUACUGGGAAGCUAGAGUAUGGGAGAGGAUGGUAGAAUUCCAGGUGUAGCGGUGAAAUGCGUAGAGAUCUGGAGGAAUACCGAUGGCGAAGGCAGCCAUCUGGUCUAAUACUGACGCUGAGGUACGAAAGCAUGGGGAGCAAACAGGAUUAGAUACCCCCGUAGUCCCUGUCUCUUAUAC
rnacentral:rRNA from 1 species